rnacentral:rRNA from 1 species
GGUUGAUCCUGCCAGUAGUCAUAUGCUUGUCUAAAGGAUUAAGCCAUGCAUGUCUAAGUAUAAACUAAUUUAUACGGUGAAACUGCGAACGGCUCAUUAUAUCAGUUAUAAUCUACUUGAUCAUAAAAACUUACAUGGAUAACCGUAGUAAAUCUAGAGCUAAUACAUGCGAAAAAUCUCGAUCGUCCAUUUGGGUGGGAGAGAUGAAUUUAUUAGAUUAAAAAUCAAUGCGGGGCAUUCAACUGGGUCGUACUUUCGGGUUCGGUCUGGGUCUCGGUUAAUUGAUGAUUCAU